UGGGUUGGCGGGCUCAUUGCUUAGGCAUUGAACUGUCAGCGCAUGCGCCACGUCAGUGAUGCAUCAAGAAUUUCUUGUGCUUUUGAAUGGAUUCCUGUAUUUGCUACCUAUUGUAAAGGAAUGGUGCCUCUCGUUGACCCUUUCCUUCCCUGAGCCAUCCGGUUAGGGGAAGGACAUCGUAGUAGUGCCUGUGCCCCUUGCAUUUGCAUGCCUUUUGGUGUGCACCUUGCGAUGGUUCCCAGGUUGCUGCUUGAUGUCUCGGAUACAGAACAUUCGGUGGGCUUGGGGUCUUUGCACCCUUGAUGUCCAAUUUCAAGCGUUUUGUCGCUAGACAUGUACGACUGCUGUGCUCGUUGCAGGGUCUCCCUACGCGGUGCCAGCGUUGUCAAAGGAAUGCUACCUGGUU
rnacentral:misc_RNA from 1 species